rnacentral:rRNA from 1 species
UGCCAGCCGCCGCGGUAAGACAGAGGGUGCAAGCGUUGUUCGGAUUUACUGGGCGUAAAGCGCGCGUAGGCGGCCAAGUAAGUCAGAUGUGAAAUCCCGGGGCUCAACCCCGGAACUGCAUCUGAAACUGCUUGGCUUGAGUCCCGGAGAGGGUGGUGGAAUUCCUGGUGUAGAGGUGAAAUUCGUAGAUAUCAGGAGGAACAUCGGUGGCGAAGGCGGCCACCUGGACGGGUAUUGACGCUGAGACGCGAAAGCGUGGGUAGCAAACAGGAUUAGAUA